GUCAGCAUAGCAUAGCGGUUUGAAUGUUGGACUAUAACUCUGGGGACCAGGGUUCAAUUCCCAGCUUGGCCA